rnacentral:rRNA from 1 species
AUUGAACGCUGCCGCAGGCUUAACACAUGCAAGUCGGGCGGAGCGGCGGACGGGUGAGUAAUGCCUAGGAAUCUGCCUGGUGGUGCGGGAUAACGUCCGGAAACGGGCGCUAAUACCGCAUACUACCAGAUGAGCUUAGGUCGGAUUCGCUAGUUGGUUGGGUAAAGGCCUACCAAAGCGACGAUCCGUAACUGGUCUGAGAGGAUGAUCAGUCACACUGGAACUGAGACACGGUACAGACUCCCACGUGAGGGAGCAGUGGGGAAGAGUGCACAAUGGGCGCAAGACUGAUGCAACCAGGCCGCGUGUAUGAAGAAGGCGUUGGGAGUGUAAAGUAGUUUCAGUCGUGAGACGUUACCGACAGAAGAAGCACCGGCUCACGCCGUGACAGCAGCCGCGGUAAUAC